UACGGAGGGAGCUAGCGUUGUUCGGAAUUACUGGGCGUAAAGCGCGCGUAGGCGGCUUUGUAAGUUAGAGGUGAAAGCCCGGGGCUCAACCCCGGAAUUGCCUUUAAGACUGCAUCGCUUGAAUCCGGGAGAGGUGAGUGGAAUUCCGAGUGUAGAGGUGAAAAUUCGUAGAUAUUCGGAAGAACACCAGUGGCGAAGGCGGCUCACUGGACCGGCAUUGACGCUGAGGUGCGAAAGCGUGGGGAGCAAACAGG
rnacentral:rRNA from 1 species